GUGGCAGCCGCCGCGGUAAUACGGAGGGUGCAAGCGUUAUCCGGAUUCAUUGGGUUUAAAGGGUGCGGCAGGCGGAUACUUAAGUCAGUGGUGAAAUCCCGGGGCUCAACCCCGGAACUGCCAUUGAUACUGAAUAUAUGGAAUACGGUUGAAGUGGGCGGAAUGUAGCAUGUAGCGGUGAAAUGCAUAGAGAUGCUACAGAACACCGAUCGCGAAGGCAGCUCACUAAGCCGAUAUUGACGCUCAGGCACGAAAGCGUGGGGAGCGAACAGGAUUAGAUACCCUGGUAGUCCACGCCGUAAACGAUGAUAACUCGUUGUUGGCGACACACAGUCAGCGACUAAGCGAAAGCGAUAAGUUAUCCACCUGGGGAGUACGAUCGCAAGGUUGAAACUCAAAGGAAUUGACGG
rnacentral:rRNA from 1 species